rnacentral:misc_RNA from 1 species
AUCAUUGUUUAGCGUCAAUAUAGUUACAAUAAAUGACUUUUUAAAAGUGGAUAUAAAGAAAAUAACCGCCUCAUCGGGUCUCUCGUAUAAGGUAAUAACUAAUAAAAAAAAAAAAAUAAAUAAACAUCGUGAGUUAUUAGGAUGUUAUUUGCCUCAAGAAACAAAUUGCUAACAAAUACGCCGCUGUUACAAGAAAUGGCUUAAAGUACUAUAAAGAAAUAUUAACUAAAUCAGCUAUAAUUUCAUCAGGUAUUAAAAGAUGGUGGCUUUUUGACGGGUCAACUUUAUGAAAUAUGUGGUCUUCCUGCCUCUGGAAAAACGCAGUUAUGCUUGACCAUUGCCAAGCAUA